rnacentral:lncRNA from 1 species
CAAGAUUCCAACUGAUCAUUCACAGCAUUUAUAAGAGUCAGACGUAUCCAAAAUGUUUGUUACAUGAAAAUAUUCAUUUCUAUUAGUCAGAACAUUGUAGAUCAACACAAAUCUUUAACACUACUAGGGACAUGCACGCGAACAUACCAAAUCUUCAACACCACUUCAAACAGCACAAAGACAUGUGGAACAAACACACAGCCACAGAGCUUCAACUAAUUCGACCAUAAACGAUCCACAAAGGUUGGAUCGUUUGGUGAACUUUUACUGCAGCGGAACCACACAAACUGAUUCCUAACCGUCAAGUUUCUUGGUCUUCUCUUUUUCCAGCAAGUAGUAUCUCUCAGCUUCUGGCAUCGUCACCAUGAUGGCGCGCAGUCGGGAAUUCAUUUCGUCUACCUUCUGCAUCAUGGCGUCAUUGGUUAACAUGCCAUUCAAGACACGUACAAUU